rnacentral:rRNA from 1 species
ACGGGAGGCAGCAGUGGGGAAUAUUGGGCAAUGGGCGAAAGCCUGACCCAGCAACGCCGCGUGAAGGAAGAAGAUCUUCGGAUUGUAAACUUCUUUUAUGAGGGACGAAGGAAGUGACGGUACCUCAUGAAUAAGCCACGGCUAACUACGUGCCAGCAGCCGCGGUAAUACGUAGGUGGCAAGCGUUAUCCGGAUUUACUGGGUGUAAAGGGCGCGUAGGCGGGAGAGCAAGUCAGAUGUGAAAUCUGUGGGCUUAACUCACAAACUGCAUUUGAAACUGUUUUUCUUGAGUGCUGGAGAGGUAGAUGGAAUUCCUUGUGUAGCGGUGAAAUGCGUAGAUAUUAGGAGGAACACCAGUGGCGAAGGCGGCCUGCUGGGCUUUAACUGACGCUGAGGCUCGAAAGUGUGGGGAGCAAACAGGAUUAGAUACCCUGGUA